AUUGAACGCUGGCGGCAGGCCUAACACAUGCAAGUCGAACGAGUGGCGGACCGGUGAGUAAUGUCCGAGAAACCGCCUGAUGGAGGGGGAUAACUACUGGAAACGGUAGCUAAUACCGCAUACCAUCAGAUGUGCCCAGAAGGGAUUAGCUAGUGGGUGGGGUAACGGCUCACCAAGGCGACGAUCCCUACCUGGUCUGAGCGGAUGACGAGCCACACGGGAACUGAGACACGGUCCAGACUCCAACGGGAGGCAGGAGUGGGGAAUAUUGCACAAGGGGCGCAAGCCUGAUACAGCCAUGCCGCGUGUAUGAAGAAGGCCUUCGGGAUGUAAAGUACUUUCAGCGGGGAGGCAUUACCCGCAGAAGAAGCACCGGCUAACUCCGUGCCAGCAGCCGCGGUAAUAC
rnacentral:rRNA from 1 species